ensembl:lncRNA
AUGCCCAGCACCCGGAAAAUACAUAUAAUCGGUUUUAUAACUUCAAAUAUUCAUGCAAAAACAAUACUUACAUUUAAAUGUAAACUUCUGUGCUUCAGAGCACAUCCACGUGAAAAAAUGUGUUUGUCCUCCACAGCACGACGCAGAUCACCUUACCAGCGGAGGGAUAGUCCCUACAUCUCUUCCUUAAAAAAACUUUUGGACACCACUACAGCUUCAAAAGCCACUACAAUUGGAGCAAUGGUUGCCGAGGUCGGUGUAAACGUAGUUUUAGAGAGAAGACGGUCAACCCAUUGAGCUCCCCGUUUAAUGAACACAAAAAACCCAACAAGAUGUUUGAUCCCAGAGUCUCUGCGGCCCCCAUCAUGAAACUCCUCCAAGAGGAACACAUCUAGAUCCUUUUUAUGAAGAUGAACAAGUGUUGAGAACUCAUUUUGAGUGCCUGAAGAAACUGUCAAGGAAGCCUAAACCUCUAGACCACAAAAAAAAAACCCACUGAACUCUUUUAGCUGAACGAUCUACCCUGAGGAACACCUCCAGAUGUCUCCAAAUACUUUUCCCUGGAACGCUGUGGUCUCGUCAGGUUUCCCUCAAUGAAUCUUGAGAGCAUAAAAAGCCAUUAGAAAACCUCUCAACCGCCUUUCUUACCCAGCAUGAAAACCCUUCAAUAUGUUCAAGGGCUUUGGAGCAGCGUCUGCACCCAGUUGGUCUUCCAAGUCAUCUAACCCUGCUUUGGAGAUGCUUUUUUUUUUUGUUCCCCAUGGAGAAAGAAUUUUGCAGCUUCUGGACCUCUUGAAGGUAGAGACCCUGAACCCCAAAGACCCUUCGGUUUCCUGUCGGCACAUCCACAGACUUCUCUAUCACAAAGGUCCUGCAGCGGUGGACUGGGUCUUCUCUCCACAGCAGGAUGCUUUUUGAUUCAGGUAUCAAGGGAACGUCGCUCCAGGCCGUUCCCUCCAAGAGCUGCAUGAACCACAGGGUGAACGCCCCCCCGUUUUUAGAGCAAAGUUUGCCUUUCGUUGCCUCACAGAACGAGCUAAAGUAGCCGACGCCGGUUCAGCUGGGACGGCGCUGAUCACCUCCUCAUUUGCAUAAAGCUGUAGCUACUAUUAGACUGUUUUCUUUACAAUGUAGCCUUGAGAAUCUACUGCUAUGGUAUAAACUAUGCAUUUAUUCCACGGUGUGUGCGUGUUGUUAUUCUGCUGUCAUCAUAUGAGGGGAAACAGGCGGAGAUCUGGUGGCGGAGCUGCUCCGGAUGACGUCAAUCCCACACGUUCCUGCUUUUAUAGAAACGACCUCUUUUUCCUGCAGCCCCUGUGAUUCCAGCUGCAGCACGAGCAGCUGCUCAGGCCUUCCGUCUGACCUGUGUGCAGACGGUUAGUACAUGCUCUUCUGGCAUUUUUCUCCAAUCAUCUUUUAAUCUGUAAAAAGACUUCCCAGUGGUCUUUAAUUUUUUAUUAUGCCCUUUUUUUUUGGCUAAAUUUUAAAAAAAAAAUCAUUUUUUAGGACAUAGUUUCUUGCAGAGUGGCAGGGGUCGUAAGCCUUCCCUGACUUCCCGACAUCCAUCUGUUUACAUUCUCUCCUGCUAGCUUACAGCCCCUCACAACCUCAACCCAACAUUAGCGGUGCAAGAAAAAUGGAAAGACAGCUUUGAUCCAGAUUCCAGCUCCGACCAUGAAAACAAAGACGUUCACGGAUCUAUUUGUCUACAAGUCGAUGCAUCAGAAUAGAGCUGAGAUAACUGCAUUAUUACCUGGAGUAAAUAAAUACUCAGAAAAGCUAUUUUAAACUGAAUAUCCUAUACAUAUAUGUCAUCUACCUCAAACUACCUCAACACGUCCGCGACUGCACCAAACUUUCUUCAUUUAAGAAAUCUCUUAAAACUCUGCUUAUUA